GAUGAACGCUGGCGGUAUGCCUUACACAUGCAAGUCGAACGGGAAUUAACUUCGGUUAACUCUAGUGGCGGACGGAUGAGUAACACGUGAGAAUUCGCCUUUAGGAGGGGGAUAACGAAUGGAAACAUUCGCUAAAACCCCAUAUGCCCCUGGGUGAAAAAGAGGAGAUAAGUUAAACUAAUUCACCUCUGCCUGAAGAGAAGCUCGCGGCUGAUUAGCUAGUUGGUAGGGUAAUGGCCUACCAAGGCGACGAUCAGUAGCUGGUCUGAGAGGACGAUCAGCCACACUGGAACUGAGACACGGUCCAGACUCCUACGGGAGGCAGCAGUGAGGAAUUUUCUGCAAUGGGCGAAAGCCUGACAGAGCAAUACCGCGUGAGGGAUGAAGACUUACUGAGUUGUAAACCUCGGUGCCUUAAGGAAGAAGAUAUGACGGUACUUAAGGUGGAAAGCAUCGGCUAACUCCGUGCCAGCCGCCGCCGUAAGAC
rnacentral:rRNA from 1 species